rnacentral:tRNA from 1 species
GGGGAUUUAGCUCAGUGGCAUAAGCGCUUGCCUUCCAAGCAAGUGGUUGUGAGUUUGAUCCCUG